CCGGCGCGCCGGCCCGCCGGGCUAGGGUCCCGAGCUGGGGCCGCGGCCUCUUCCGCUGGCCUCGCGGCCUCGCCGGCGACGGGUCUGGCGGGGAGAGGGGACGGCCCCUGUGCGUAAGAUAAGCACCGGCUGGAGCAGGUCCCCGCACCUGCCAGGUACGGACAGGUAGAGCCGCGGACGUUCAGAUCUAAGAACGUGACAAGUACGCCCUGCCCGAGGGAGGUGCAGUCGCGGGCACACUGAGCGAAUCGGGCACCCAGAGGCUGCUCCACAAACUGUUGGAGUGAAGCCAUAGACAAUCUAUCGAAUUCAGCGACCUGUGACAUUCCACCUGUCACCGCCGUCCUGGCUUCUCAAAUGGAAUGGAGACAGGCUAUUAAACCGCUUUUUAACAAAUUCAGAGCAGCAUGUUCUUGGCUGGGGGGAGAAAAAUUCCACUUAUCAAGAGAUGUUAUUCCUUCAAAGGAUGAGAACCUACUUCUACAUAAAGAGAAUUUGGAGGGAGCGUUUUGUUCUGUGGGGACAUCAUCUGGAUUUGAAUACAUCCCUGCUCAAAAGGAGAUUUAUUAUAAUGGACCCAACUCAAAACACUCAGAGUACAAGGACCGAGGAGCAAAACUGAGGCCACUUGCUGACCAUGACACAGUGGGAGAUGAAUACAUUGUAAGAGAAUGAUAGUGUCUGUUAAGAAUAUUGUCAAUUUCCUGGUGUAUCAGCUGUGACUCCUUACAGAGCAAGUAACCGGACACCCACUGCAAAUGGCUUAACGGGAAUCUCUGUGGCUUAUGUGGUCCAAAUAAGGUCAAUCCUAUUUCCAGGACCAGAUCUAGAAGAAACAAGAAAGCCCACGACUGCUGUUGCUUCUUCCUGCCACACGGUGUCGCUGUUGAAGAUGGGUCCUGGGCAGCCUGGUGCACAUUGCUUGUCAUUGCUCUGCUGUCGUCUCAGGUCCUUCUAUUAGUUCCACUCGAUUUUCCAGAGGAAACAAUAUGCCUUGGCUACAAUUGCAGUUCUUCAAUUAAAUUAGACAAAUACUCAUUGAGUGCCUACUGCAUGCCAGGCUCCGACCUAGGUUCUGGGAAAACAUCAGAACAAAAUAGACAAUGAUAGCUGCCUGCCCUUGUGGGGGCUACACGAUAAACAACAAACACAAUAAAUAAGUAAAUUACAAAGCAUGUUAAAAGGUGUUAAGCACCACGAAGAAAUAAAAGAGUAAAACAGGGUAAGGGGGACUGGGAGCAUGUGGUGGGGUAUUGGGUGGGGUUGUACCAUUGGGAAACAUUCAAUAAAGUCUUGAAGGAGGUGA